GUUUGUGAGAAGGAAAUCCAAUUUGUAUUCUUUUUUAUUACAAAUUGGUUCGGUUAACAUAUUGUAUGAAAUAAUUUAUGAAAUGACGACUAUGUGGUAUGUGCUUUACUCACUGUUGAAGGCCGUAGGGUAACUUAUGGUUAUUAAUUUCUGUGUCUUUUGUCUCUUGUGAAUAGUUGUCUCAUCGCCAAUCAUACCACAUCUUUUUUUUAUAUUGGUUGCAUGUAGUAAAAAUUUAUUAUCGUAUUGAACUCGUUUUUGUCCACAAAUAUAUUGCUCAAACUUGUUCUUCAUAUGAUAAUAAAUUUUGAAAAUGAACCACAGUAUACGCAAAAGAAAUAAACUUUGUCUUAAUACAUCUGUUUACAUGUAGCUUGCAUUAAAUAGGUAAUUUUUUAAAUAAUCACUACGUGAUAUGUGCUUAACUCACUGUUGAAGGCCGUAGGGUGACUUAUGGUUAUUAAUUUCUGUAUCAUUUUGUCUCUUGUGAAGAGUUGUCUCAUCGCCAAUUAUACCACAUCUUUUUCAUAUUGGUUGCAUAUAGUAAAAAUUUAUUAUCGUAUUGAACUCGUUUUUGUCCAGAAAUAUAUUGCACAAACGUGUUCUUCAUAUGAUAAUAAAUUUUGAAAAUGAACCAUAGCAUACGCAAAAGAAAUAAACUCUGUCUAAAUACA
rnacentral:lncRNA from 1 species